CACGUAGGGUGCGAGCGUUGUCCGGAAUUAUUGGGCGUAAAGAGCUCGUAGGCGGUGUGUCGCGUCGGCCGUGAAAACCUGCAGCUUAACUGUGGGCUUGCGGUCGAUACGGGCAUCACUGGAGUUCGGCGAGGGAGGACUGGAAUUCCUGGUGUAGCGGUGAAAUGACGCAGAUAUCAGGAGGGAACACCCGGUGGCGGAAGGCGGGUCUCUGGGCCGA
rnacentral:rRNA from 1 species